GACGAACGCUGGCGGCGUGCUUAACACAUGCAAGUCGAACGGGCCCGCCCCUGUUUUUGGGGGUGGGUUGAGUGGCGAACGGGUGAGUAUCACGUGAGUAACCUGCCCCCUGCUCCUGGAUAACUGCUUGAAAGGGCGGCUAAUACGGGGUGUGCCGGCUGGUCCGCAUGGGCCUGGUCGGGAUAGUUUCAUCUUCGGGUGUUUCGGUGGGGGAUGGGCUCGCGGCCUAUCAGCUUGUUGGUGGGGUGAUGGCCCACCAAGGCGGUGACGGGUAGCCGGCCUGAGAGGGUGGGCGGCCACACUGGGACUGAGACACGGCCCAGGCUCCUGCGGGAGGCAGCAGUGGGGGGUAUUGCACAAUGGGCGGAAGCCUGAUGCAGCGACGUCGCGUGAGGGAUGGAGGCCUUCGGGUUGUGAACCUCUUUCUCCGGUGGUGAAGGCCCUGUCCGUUGCGGCGGGGUUGACGGUAGCCGGGUAUGAAGCGCCGGCUAACUACGUG
rnacentral:rRNA from 1 species